AUAUUGGACAAUGGGCGCAAGCCUGAUCCAGCCAUGCCGCGUGAGUGAUGAAGGCCUUAGGGUUGUAAAGCUCUUUCGCCGGUGAAGAUAAUGACGGUAACCGGAGAAGAAGCCCCGGCUAACUUCGUGCCAGCAGCCGCGGUAAUACGAAGGGGGCUAGCGUUGUUCGGAAUUACUGGGCGUAAAGCGCACGUAGGCGGAUUGUUAAGUCGGGGGUGAAAUCCCAGGGCUCAACCCUGGAACUGCCUCCGAUACUGGCAUUCUCGAGUCCGGGAGAGGUGAGUGGAAUUCCGAGUGUAGAGGUGAAAUUCGUAGAUAUUCGGAAGAACACCAGUGGCGAAGGCGGCUCACUGGCCCGGAACUGACGCUGAGGUGCGAAAGCGUGGGGAGCAAACAGG
rnacentral:rRNA from 1 species